rnacentral:rRNA from 1 species
GUCGAGCGCAGGAACCAGCUGAUCCCCUUCGGGGGUGACGCUGGUGGAAUGAGCGGCGGACGGGUGAGUAACACGUGGGCAACCUGCCUGUAAGACCGGAAUAACCCCGGGAAACCGGGGCUAAUGCCGGGUAACACCUUCUCUCGCAUGAGGGGAGGUUGAAAGAUGGCUUCUCGCUAUCGCUUACAGAUGGGCCCGCGGCGCAUUAGCUAGUUGGUGAGGUAACAGCUCACCAAGGCGACGAUGCGUAGCCGACCUGAGAGGGUGAUCGGCCACACUGGGACUGAGACACGGCCCAGACUCCUACGGGAGGCAGCAGUAGGGAAUCUUCCGCAAUGGACGAAAGUCUGACGGAGCAACGCCGCGUGAACGAUGAAGGUCUUCGGAUCGUAAAGUUCUGUUGUUAGGGAAGAACAAGUGCCGUGCGAAUAGAGCGGCACCUUGACGGUACCUAACGAGGAAGCCCCGGCUAACUACGUGCCAGCAGCCGCGGUAAUACGUAGGGGGCAAGCGUUGUCCGGAAUUAUUGGGCGUAAAGCGCGCGCAGGCGGUUCCUUAAGUCUGAUGUGAAAGCCCACGGCUCAACCGUGGAGGGUCAUUGGAAACUGGGGAACUUGAGGACAGAAGAGGAGAGUGGAAUUCCACGUGUAGCGGUGAAAUGCGUAGAUAUGUGGAGGAACACCAGUGGCGAAGGCGACUCUCUGGUCUGUUUCUGACGCUGAGGUGCGAAAGCGUGGGUAGCAAACAGGAUUAGAUACCCUGGUAGUCCACGCCGUAAACGAUGAGUGCUAGGUGUUAGG